rnacentral:rRNA from 1 species
GUCGAGCGGUAACAGGGAGUAGCUUGCUACUCUGCUGACGAGCGGCGGACGGGUGAGUAAUGUCUGGGAAACUGCCUGAUGGAGGGGGAUAACUACUGGAAACGGUAGCUAAUACCGCAUAACGUCGCAAGACCAAAGAGGGGGACCUUCGGGCCUCUUGCCAUCAGAUGUGCCCAGAUGGGAUUAGCUUGUAGGUGAGGUAAUGGCUCACCUAGGCGACGAUCCCUAGCUGGUCUGAGAGGAUGACCAGCCACACUGGAACUGAGACACGGUCCAGACUCCUACGGGAGGCAGCAGUGGGGAAUAUUGCACAAUGGGCGCAAGCCUGAUGCAGCCAUGCCGCGUGUAUGAAGAAGGCCUUCGGGUUGUAAAGUACUUUCAGCGAGGAGGAAGGCGUGAAACUUAAUACGUUUCACGAUUGACGUUACUCGCAGAAGAAGCACCGGCUAACUCCGUGCCAGCAGCC